GUGGCUUAGUGGUUAGAGUGUCCACCUCGGAUGCUGGAGGUCGUGGGUUCGAUCACCGACAGUGUCA